UUCCAUCUCUUUUCUCUGAUCUUUCGUCUUUGUAUAAUCACCCUGGGAAGCGCUCUUCAAGCUAAGGUAUAUUAAAGAUCAGAUAGCGAAAGGUAAUUUAGUAAAGGAGGAAUUCAAGAAAUUAUUGUAGCAUUUAUACUG